GGAUAGUAGUGGAAAUUCUUUUGGGUCUCGUUUUUUAACGAGGCGCAAAAGAUUGUAACGGAUAGCCCGAUU
rnacentral:sRNA from 1 species